ACUGAUUAGGUCAUCUCAUAACCUAAUCAGACCUGACCUGAUUGAAUCCAAUUCAAUCAAACUUGAUCCAAACUUUAAUGCUCAAUCAAAUUAAGCUAAUUAGUGAUCAAAUCACUACUUAAUCCUCUAUUAAUGAUAGAGUCCAAGUCCAGUGGAACUCUUCAUCAGAGUCUCCAUCCAGUGGGACUCUUCAGCAGAGUUCCCAUUCAGUGAGACUUUUCACCAGAGUACCCAU
rnacentral:lncRNA from 1 species